AAGGAAUAAAAUAAGCUGUUACUGCUAAUAAUGGUAUGAGCGGUAGGUCGCUCUAUUC
rnacentral:tRNA from 2 species